AGCCCCUGCCUUUCCGUUAAAAAAAUUUUUUUUUCGAAUUUUUUUUUUUUUGCGCAGCAGGCAGUGGGACGCGUUGAGCAGUAUGCCUCCCCCUCCCCAGGUCCCGGCACCCCCCAUUGCUCUGGGCGCUGCCGCGGCACGGGCACCUAAAGUUACAGUGAGUGCCUGCCUGCUUGCUGCCGCAGCUUCGGCAGAUCAGCGUCGUGGGACCGUCAUUCAUCAUCAUCAUCACUCCGCUGACGCUGACUGACGUGGCGUCCCCGCCCCGUGGUGCCCCCCCACCAGUCGCACAUGCGUGUCUGACCUGGCGACACGCCGCGCAUGUGUGUCUGCCACCACAUGGACUUCGUCUUCCUCACGCAGCGACCACGAGGCAGGGUGUGGGAGACCGCAGCGCUUUGUGCAGCACAGGAGUGGAGGAAGAGGAUUCGACGGCCUGCCUGCCUUCAAUCAUCACCAGUGCCACAAGCAACGCAAUAAAGCAAGCGUUAGCCAAGGAGGACAAGCACUUCUGCUGAGCUGACUGGAAGAACUGCAGGCACAAGGAAGCAACCAGCGCUUAGUAGCAAGCCUUCUAAUGCAGAAGAAUAACUCAAUAUGACACAUUGCCCAAAGCACUUCCAAAAAAUAUCUUGGAUGUUUAGCUGUGUUUUGUAAUGUUGUCACAAAGGCAAAGGGAACAAUGAAGAAAAUAAAUGUGCACAAGUUGCAGAUUGACAUUU